UACGAAGGGUGCAAGCGUUACUCGGAAUUACUGGGCGUAAAGCGUGCGUAGGUGGUUCGUUAAGUCUGAUGUGAAAGCCCUGGGCUCAACCUGGGAAUGGCAUUGGAAACUGGCGACCUAGAGUGCGGUAGAGGGUAGUGGAAUUCCCGGUGUAGCAGUGAAAUGCGUAGAGGUCGGGAGGAACACCAGUGGCGAAGGCGACUACCUGGCCUGUUCUUGACGCUGAGGCGCGAAAGCUAGGGGAGCAAACGGG
rnacentral:rRNA from 1 species